rnacentral:rRNA from 1 species
UAGGGAAUCUUCGGCAAUGGGGGCAACCCUGACCGAGCAACGCCGCGUGAGUGAAGAAGGUCUUCGGAUCGUAAAGCUCUGUUGUAAGUCAAGAACGGGUGUGAGAGUGGAAAGUUCACACUGUGACGGUAGCUUACCAGAAAGGGACGGCUAACUACGUGCCAGCAGCCGCGGUAAUACGUAGGUCCCGAGCGUUGUCCGGAUUUAUUGGGCGUAAAGCGAGCGCAGGCGGUUUGAUAAGUCUGAAGUUAAAGGCUGUGGCUCAACCAUAGUUCGCUUUGGAAACUGUCAAACUUGAGUGCAGAAGGGGAGAGUGGAAUUCCAUGUGUAGCGGUGAAAUGCGUAGAUAUAUGGAGGAACACCGGUGGCGAAAGCGGCUCUCUGGUCUGUAACUGACGCUGAGGCUCGAAAGCGUGGGGAGCGAACAGG